rnacentral:SRP_RNA from 1 species
UAUGCCGGGCCCCGCGACGUACGACCGUGAAUUCCGCCAGGCCCGGAAGGGAGCAACGGUAGCGGUACGGCGUGUGCGGGGUCCGGCACCCCC